rnacentral:rRNA from 1 species
AUACAUGCAAGUCGAGCGGAUCUUCAUUAGCUUGCUUUUGAAGAUCAGCGGCGGACGGGUGAGUAACACGUGGGCAACCUGCCUGUAAGACUGGGAUAACUUCGGGAAACCGGAGCUAAUACCGGAUAAUCCUUUCCCUCACAUGAGGGAAAGCUGAAAGACGGUUUCGGCUGUCACUUACAGAUGGGCCCGCGGCGCAUUAGCUAGUUGGUGAGGUAACGGCUCACCAAGGCAACGAUGCGUAGCCGACCUGAGAGGGUGAUCGGCCACACUGGGACUGAGACACGGCCCAGACUCCUACGGGAGGCAGCAGUAGGGAAUCUUCCGCAAUGGACGAAAGUCUGACGGAGCAACGCCGCGUGAGCGAUGAAGGCCUUCGGGUCGUAAAGCUCUGUUGUCAGGGAAGAACAAGUAUCGGAGUAACUGCCGGUACCUUGAC